rnacentral:rRNA from 1 species
AAUGAACGUUGGCGGCGUGGAUUAGGCAUGCAAGUCGAGCGGAAAGGCCCCGCAAGGGGUACUCGAGCGGCGUAAGGGACAGUAAUGUGUAGAUACGUACCUCUAGGUCUGGGAUAGCUGCGGGAAACUGCAAUUAAUACCAGAUAAUGUCUCCGGACCAAAGGUGUGAUUCCUCCUAGAAAGCGGUCUACAUCCUAUUAGCUUGUUGGCGGGGUAAUGGCCCACCAAGGCAAAGAUGGGUAGCAGGUGUGAGAGCACGACCUGCGUCACUGGGACUGAGACACUGCCCAGACACCUACGGGUGGCUGCAGUCGAGAAUCUUCGGCAAUGGGCGAAAGCCUGACCGAGCGACGCCGCGUGCGGGAUGAAGGCCUUCGGGUUGUAAACCGCUGUCAGAGGGGAUGAAAUGCCGAUGGGUACUCCCAACGGCUUGACUGAUCCUCGGAGGAAGGGUGGGCUAAGUUCGUGCCAGCCGCCGCAGUAAAAC